rnacentral:rRNA from 1 species
AGGAUGAACGCUGGCGGCGUGCUUAACACAUGCAAGUCGAACGAUGAACCUCACUUGUGGGGGAUUAGUGGCGAACGGGUGAGUAACACGUGAGUAACCUGCCCUUAACUCUGGGAUAAGCCUUGGAAACGGGGUCUAAUACCGGAUAUUUACGAUUGAUCGCAUGGUUGGUUGUGGAAAGAUUUAUUGGUUUUGGAUGGAUUCGCGGCCUAUCAGCUUGUUGGUGAGGUAAUGGCUUACCAAGGCGACGACGGGUAGCCGGCCUGAGAGGGUGACCGGCCACACUGGGACUGAGACACGGCCCAGACUCCUACGGGAGGCAGCAGUGGGGAAUAUUGCACAAUGGGCGCAAGCCUGAUGCAGCGACGCCGCGUGAGGGAUGAAGGCCUUCGGGUUGUAAACCUCUUUCAGCAGGGAAGAAGCGAAAGUGACGGUACCUGCAGAAGAAGCACCGGACUAACUACGUGCCAGCAGCCGC